GGGAAGGUGGCUCAGUGGUAGAGUGCUUGCCUUGCAUGCAUGAGGCCUUGGGUUCCAUUCCU
rfam:Dipodomys ordii contig_53178, whole genome shotgun sequence.